rnacentral:rRNA from 1 species
AAGCCUAAGUACUCCUCUACGACCGAUAGUGAACAAGUACCGUGAGGGAAAGGUGAAAAGCACCCCGACAAGGGGAGUGAAACAGAUCCUGAAAUCGGAAGCCUACAAGCAGUCGGAGCCCCCAAGCGGGGUGACGGCGUACCUUUUGUAUAAUGGGUCAGCGACUUCAUGUGUCGAGCAAGCUUAAGCCGUUAGGUGUAGGCGCAGCGAAAGCGAGUCUGAAUAGGGCGCUAAGUUCGACGUAUGACGACCCGAAACCAGGUGAUCUAUCCAUGAGCAGGAUGAAGGUAAGGUAACACUUACUGGAGGUCCGAACCCGUGAAUGUUGAAAAAUUCUGGGAUGACUUGUGGAUAGGGGUGAAAGGCCAAUCAAACCUGGACAUAGCUGGUUCUCCGCGAAAUCUAUUUAGGUAGAGCGUCCGACGAAUACCCUGGGGGGUAGAGCACUGGAUGGUUGCGGGCUGCGCGAGCGGUACCAAUACUAACCAAACUCCGAAUACCCAGGAGUACUAUCGGGCAGACACACGGCGGGUGCUAACGUCCGUCGUGAAAAGGGAAACAACCCUAACCAUCAUCUAAGGCCCCCAAGUCAUGGCUAAGUGGGAAACGAUGUGGGAUUGCUUUGACAAUCAGGAGGUUGGCUUAGAAGCAGCCAUCCUUUAAAGAAAGCGUAACAGCUCACUGAUCAAGCGAUCCUGCGCGGAAAAUGUAACGGGGCUAAAGCCAUGCGCCGAAGAUAUGGGUUUGCAGUUUACUGCAAGCGGUAGCGGAGCGUUCCGUAAGCCUGUGAAGGUCAACCGUGAGGUUGGCUGGAGGUAUCGGAAGUGAGAAUGCUGACAUGAGUAACGAUAAACAGUGUGAGAAACACUGUCGCCGAAAGACCAAGGGUUCCUGCGUAAAGCUAAUCUGCGCAGGGUUAGUCGGCCCCUAAGGCGAGGCUGAAAAGCGUAGUCGAUGGGAAGCAGGUAAAUAUUCCUGCACCAGCUGGAAGUGACGGAUGGCAUAAGUCGUCGGGGCUUAUUGGAUUGUUCCCGGCGGUGGCGUUGUCCCUGGAAAUAACUCCAGCAGAGACCGUACCCGAAACCGACACAGGUGGUCAGGUAGAGUAUACCAAGGCGCUUGAGAGAACUGUGCUGAAGGAACUCGGCAAAUUGCACGCGUAACUUCGGAAUAAGCGUGACUCACCCUGGGCAACCAGGAAUGAGUGGCACAAGCCAGGGGGUAGCGACUGUUUAGCAAAAACAUAGGGCUCUGCGAAGCAUCAAUGCGACGUAUAGGGUCUGACGCCUGCCCGGUGCCUGAAGGUUAAAGGGAGGAGUGAAAGCUCCGAACUGAAGCCCAGGUAAACGGCGGCCGUAACUAUAACGGUCCUAAGGUAGCGAAAUUCCUUGUCGGGUAAGUUCCGACCUGCACGAAUGGCGUAACGACUUCCCCACUGUCUCCAGCACAGGCUCAGUGAAAUUGAAUUCCCCGUGAAGAUGCGGGGUUCCCGCGGUCAGACGGAAAGACCCUAUGAACCUUUACUAUAGCUUCGCCUUGGCGUUAGCGACCGUAUGUGUAGGAUAGGUGGGAGGCUAUGAAGCCGGGGCGCCAGCUCUGGUGGAGCCAUCCUUGAAAUACCACCCUUACUGUCGUUGACGUCUAACCGAGGGCCGUUAUCCGGUCCCGGGACAUGGCGUGGUGGGUAGUUUGACUGGGGCGGUCGCCUCCCAAAGUGUAACGGAGGCGCGCGAUGGUUAGCUCAGACCGGUCGGAAAUCGGUCGUCGAGUGCAAUGGCAUAAGCUAGCCUGACUGCGAGACUGACAAGUCGAGCAGAGACGAAAGUCGGCCAUAGUGAUCCGGUGGUCCCGCGUGGAAGGGCCAUCGCUCAACGGAUAAAAGGUACUCUAGGGAUAACAGGCUGAUUUUGCCCAAGAGUCCAUAUCGACGGCAAAGUUUGGCACCUCGAUGUCGGCUCAUCACAUCCUGGGGCUGGAGCAG